CUUACAUAGAUUUUUUCCGCUGCUCCACAUGAAAUUUCGUCACCUUACACGUUAAGAGACCAUGCCCAUGUAUAAACUACCCUAGACUACUCUUCAUUUUGAAUUAAAACGUGAUAGAUUAUUAAUCCGCUACUUGGCCCCUCUUCCCUCCCCUACGGGGCCGCCGCAGGGUUGGUAUAAAACGAGGGGAGCGUCGUUUGAGGGCAUCUUUCGCCCACUCAUCUUCCUCCUACUCACAGAUCGGGCGUCCCAGUCUCUGCCACACCCACACACACCCACCACACACAGCUACACGAACCCGUGUAUCCACCCCGAUGUGUUCUUUUAGUUGUUAAACUCAAUAUUCCUAUUCUCUCCGCAGUAGGAGUUGUAGGAGAGAGCCCUGUAUGCGUUCUUGGAGCCAUACCAGGGGUAGGAAACGGGGAAUCGAGUCCCCCUUACAAUUCCCUCCUGCACUCCCUAUUGCGGGAAGUAUUUUUGGGAGUAUUUAGGCCAGUAAUCUGUGCUUUACCUGUAGUGUAAGAAAUGUUAGUGAAUUAAGAGGCUGUAUGUUUGUGUCUUUACGACGGAGAUGGUUCUCGUCGUGUAUAGGUUUUUCCCGGAAAUGUAACGUUCCCCCUCUCUGAGUCUCUUUCAUACAUCUUAUGUACCUGGUUUUUACAAUAAUUGUACACCCGCCCAAGGGUAAAGAUUUCGUGGAGAAUCCUCAGCCUUAUUCUGGUUACCAUAGUGAGAGGAGAAAACUAGAAAUCAGUCGUGUGUCCAUUCGCCCAUUUCCGUCAAUUUCGGGAAAAUCGUGCCUUCAAUGAGGAAAUAAUUAUAAACCGUGUCGUCAGGUAUGCGGCGCCUAUGUAUUGCCUUCUAAACUAAGUCACAGGAAUAAAUGUAAGCACUCCUAUAUAUAGGCCUUUAUUUCUUGUCACUCCCCGAUGUGAGAUUUGUCCGGCCGGCUGUGAGUUAAACUAACCAUUUACCGCCCCCGAGCCUGCCCCGCUCACCUCGCUACCCUGCCCAAGGAAUCAGAGUCUCGCUCUGGGUCAUUUUAAUCCCUCAUUAAAUCCUUAGUCCUUUAUAUACAUAUACUCUUAAGGUUCCCAGUGAGCUACCGGCGACAUAGUUCAUCGGUAGAUCUCUGGGCGGUGGCAGCAAAACUACCCCCAGGGUGAGUCCCCCUUGUUCUCCUCAGAUAUCCCUAGGUGAAUUCCCUUUUUUUUUUUUACAACAUUUAGUGUCCCGAAUUUCCGGGCACGACACCAGCAGUAGACAAGAGAUAUGGAGGGAAGAGAGAGAAAAUAACAAGAGAACGGCGAGGGAAGUGGCUGGCAAGUCUGGCAAGAGCUGACUUAUCCGAGGCUGGAAAAAGGCAUCUCCUCGUGUGCAGUGAUCAUUUUUUGAGUGGACGGCCAGCAGUCCUUGAGGAUACUAGUAAUCCAGACUGGGCCCCAACACAGAACCUUGGUCAUCGUAAAGUGUCCCAGGAAUUGGUCGCCAUCAGUUGUGCUCGGCAUCAAAGGAUCCAGGAGAGAAAGUUGAAGAAGGAUAAGGAGAUGUUUAUGGCAGCGCAGACACUCAUGGACAUAUAGGAAUACACUCAACCUUGCCAUGACGAAGUUCAUGUUGAACAACAGGAACAGUUGUCCCUACUAGCCAUCGGCCAGACAUUUCAGACAGAGAAGCAAACCAUUGUGUCUAGACCAGCUGCCUGCCAGACAGAAACAGUAACAGUUGCAACUGUCGGCUGCCAAAGAGACCUCACCCUAAUGGAGACGACCAUGUUUGAUCAGCAGGAUGAGGACUUGAACCAGUUACGAACAGAGGUGUAUGAACUCCGUUCUACAGUAGGUGACUACAAUAACCUCAACCUCAGUAAUGAUGAUGAAAAAGUCCUUUUUAUACAGGGCUGCCAAACUAUGCUGUACUGAUGUGCAUUUUUUAUUAUGUUUGCCUUAAUAUUACCCAUUCAAUUAAUUCAAAGCUAUCCCCGUUUCAAGAAUUUGUUAUGUUUCUGAUGCAUCUUCGUUUAAACACAUGCUUCCAGGAUUUGGCCUACAGAUUUAAUGUAUCUCUUUCAACUGUGUCAAGGAUAUUUUAUAAAUGGGUAGAUACAGCAGAUACAAAAUUAAGACAUUCCAUUGUAUGGCCUACUGGCACAAUAGGCUGGGAAGAAAAUAAAUAAAAAAUAGAAAAAUAAAAAUCAGUCGACACACACACACACACACACACACACACACACACACACACACACACACACACACUCACCCUGAGAAAUUCCCCUUGCAGUAGGGUUGGGGGAGGGGGGGGGCAGUGUUCCAGCACCAGCAGCACCCCCACAUAGGAUGAGAGGAGUGCACCAUCAGGGGGGACGGCUGCUGCUCGGGGUUGCUGGCUAAGACGAGGGAGACACAGUUAGAGGGGCAGCCAUAUUAGAAUCUCUUGUUGAUAUUGAUAAGUUUAAAGCAAGAGUCAACAGCUGCCUGCCACCUUUUGUUAACGGGUGAUUUUUCCUC